rnacentral:rRNA from 1 species
UACGAAGGGGGCUAGCGUUGUUCGGAAUUACUGGGCGUAAAGAGCUCGUAGGCGGUUCAGUCAGUCGGGUGUGAAAUCUCCGGGCUCAACUCGGAGGGGCCACCCGAUACUGCUGUGACUCGAGUCCGGUAGGGGAGUGGGGAAUUCCUGGUGUAGCGGUGAAAUGCGCAGAUAUCAGGAGGAACACCGAUGGCGAAGGCAGGUCUCUGGGCCACUACUGACGCUGAGGCGCGAAAGCGUGGGGAGCAAACAGG